UACACACCGCCCGUCACACCAUGGGAGUGGGUUUCACCAGAAGCCGGUCGCCUAACCGCAAGGGGGGCGCCGACCAUGGUGAGAUUCAUGACUGGGGUG
rnacentral:rRNA from 1 species